AGUAUGGACGGUAGAGUAUAAACUGACCGAGAAUUUAAGUGCCGUAAUAUGAGAUCGUGCCGAAAACUUGUCGACACGAUACGGCACGAUACGUGUCAGACCGUACCAAUCAUAAAAAUUUUAUGUGCCGAAACAUAAUAUUAUGAAAUAUUUAUUUUCUUCAGCAAUAAAAUAUUAUAACUGUUUAUUAUGUACUUUUAUCAAAUUUUUAAAAUUUUAUUAAAAAAAUUAGUUACUAAUUUAAAAAAUAGAGGAUCUUAAGCUGUACUAUAGGCAUGAGAGCUAUAUUAUACUGAUAUUUUAUUGACACGAUACGGUACGAUAGAUACUUAUCGUGUCGAUGAUAUUUAAAUUCUUAAAAAUAACACAAAUA
rnacentral:lncRNA from 1 species